rnacentral:rRNA from 1 species
AGUGAACGCUGGCGGUAGGCCUAACACAUGCAAGUCGAACGGUAGCACCGCAUGCGCUUGCUCUUACGGGUGGCGAGUGGCGGACGAGACAGGAAUACAUCGGCAUCUACUUUUUCGUGGGGGGUAAAGACCGGAGAUUUACGCUAAUACUUCAUAAGUCCUGCGUGUGAAACCAGGGGAUCCUCGGGCCUUGCGCGAUUGACUGAGCCGCUGUCGGAUUAGAUAGUUGGCGGGGUCAAGCCCAACCAAGGCGACGAUCCGUAGCUGAUCUGACAGGAGGAUCAGCCACACUGGAACUGAGACACGGUGCAGACUACUACGGGAGGCAGCAGUGGGGAAUAUUGGGCAAUGGGCGCAAGCCUGAUCCAGCGAUACCGCGUGAGUGAAGAAGGCCUUCGGGUCGGAAAGCACUUUUGUUGGGAAAGAAAAGCAGCAGGUUAAUACCCCGCUGUACUGACGGUACCCAAAGAAUAAGCACCGGCUAACUUCGUG